rnacentral:rRNA from 4 species
AGAGUUUGAUCAUGGCUCAGAUUGAACGCUGGCGGCAGGCCUAACACAUGCAAGUCGAACGGUAACAGGAAGCAGCUUGCUGCUUCGCUGACGAGUGGCGGACGGGUGAGUAAUGUCUGGGAAACUGCCUGAUGGAGGGGGAUAACUACUGGAAACGGUGGCUAAUACCGCAUAACGUCGCAAGACCAAAGAGGGGGACCUUCGGGCCUCUUGCCAUCAGAUGUGCCCAGAUGGGAUUAGCUAGUUGGUGAGGUAACGGCUCACCAAGGCGACGAUCCCUAGCUGGUCUGAGAGGAUGACCAGCCACACUGGAACUGAGACACGGUCCAGACUCCUACGGGAGGCAGCAGUGGGGAAUAUUGCACAAUGGGCGCAAGCCUGAUGCAGCCAUGCCGCGUGUAUGAAGAAGGCCUUCGGGUUGUAAAGUACUUUCAGCGGGGAGGAAGGUGUUGUGGUUAAUAACCGCAGCAAUUGACGUUACCCGCAGAAGAAGCACCGGCUAACUCCGUGCCAGCAGCCGCGGUAAUACGGAGGGUGCAAGCGUUAAUCGGAAUUACUGGGCGUAAAGCGCACGCAGGCGGUCUGUCAAGUCGGAUGUGAAAUCCCCGGGCUCAACCUGGGAACUGCAUUCGAAACUGGCAGGCUUGAGUCUUGUAGAGGGGGGUAGAAUUCCAGGUGUAGCGGUGAAAUGCGUAGAGAUCUGGAGGAAUACCGGUGGCGAAGGCGGCCCCCUGGACAAAGACUGACGCUCAGGUGCGAAAGCGUGGGGAGCAAACAGGAUUAGAUACCCUGGUAGUCCACGCCGUAAACGAUGUCUACUUGGAGGUUGUGCCCUUGAGGCGUGGCUUCCGGAGCUAACGCGUUAAGUAGACCGCCUGGGGAGUACGGCCGCAAGGUUAAAACUCAAAUGAAUUGACGGGGGCCCGCACAAGCGGUGGAGCAUGUGGUUUAAUUCGAUGCAACGCGAAGAACCUUACCUGGUCUUGACAUCCACAGAACUUUCCAGAGAUGGAUUGGUGCCUUCGGGAACUGUGAGACAGGUGCUGCAUGGCUGUCGUCAGCUCGUGUUGUGAAAUGUUGGGUUAAGUCCCGCAACGAGCGCAACCCUUAUCCUUUGUUGCCAGCGGUUAGGCCGGGAACUCAAAGGAGACUGCCAGUGAUAAACUGGAGGAAGGUGGGGAUGACGUCAAGUCAUCAUGGCCCUUACGACCAGGGCUACACACGUGCUACAAUGGCGCAUACAAAGAGAAGCGACCUCGCGAGAGCAAGCGGACCUCAUAAAGUGCGUCGUAGUCCGGAUUGGAGUCUGCAACUCGACUCCAUGAAGUCGGAAUCGCUAGUAAUCGUGGAUCAGAAUGCCACGGUGAAUACGUUCCCGGGCCUUGUACACACCGCCCGUCACACCAUGGGAGUGGGUUGCAAAAGAAGUAGGUAGCUUAACCUUCGGGAGGGCGCUUACCACUUUGUGAUUCAUGACUGGGGUGAAGUCGUAACAAGGUAACCGUAGGGGAACCUGCGGUUGGAUCACCU